AUCAAGUGCACAUCAUACGUGUAGGUAAA
rnacentral:piRNA from 1 species